rnacentral:lncRNA from 1 species
CAAUAGAAAUAGUUGGAAUGUGAGUGCUUUGUGUUUGCAUGUUUGACAGGUUGAAAGAAGGAAGAGACACCUUUGCUCUGGGUCCUUGAAGUUCCUUGGAGAGGGCAGGACCAAGAGCAUCUCAGUGACAAACAUAAUGGACUGAAAUCCAGGGUCCCUCUGCAAUUUUCCAGCACUGUAUUGGUUCUAAUUGACUUCUAAGACCAGAUUAGAUGAUUAAAGCUGAAAUCUCUUUACCUUGAAGAAGAGUCAAGAACCACAACAAUCAAUCAGUUAAUCAAUCAAUUGAUCUAAUUAAGCAUCAUCUCUUUCCAUUGGAAAAUUUGUAGUAGCCCCCAGAUAGACCUUUAAAAAAAUCUUUCUAGAUAAUUUUCUGAUUUGUCUGAAUUCAGGAUGUUUUAGAAACCUCAGUCUGGGAGAAACAGUGAUUUGUGCUGUGCAAUGACAAGGGAAUUCUGAGAGAUUGUAUUAGAUCAGGAUGGUGAUACUGGUUCAGCUAAGCCUUUCUCCCUAGAAACUUAAGGACUGGAGAAUACUUAUGAUGCAGGGACCACACACUAAUUAUUCUGGAAUUAGUUACAGAUCCUCAAGGUACUACUAGCCCAACAGCUGGAAAGGAUCUUUAUCAGAGAAUCAAGGAUGUAUAAUCACUUAAUUAUUACAUUUCCGGACAUGUGGAAU